UUAAACUAAAAGAAGAAGAAGAAGAAGAAGAAAUCUCGCGAUACCUGCACGUGAUCGCGCGAUGCAUUAGAACAACAGGUGUUUGUUGAUCAGCGUUGUAGAGGAAUACAAAGCGAAAAAACACGUGGACAGCAUACAAGAGAAAGGCGAUGGACCGUACCGAGACAAGGGUGCAAGACCUCCGAAUUUUACAGCUCAAAGAGAAGACCGUCGUCAUUUCAGAGGACACGCUGCCAUUAAAAGAAGUCCAUAAUCCACCUGACUGGAUGUGAUGCAUUCAAGCGACAGCAUUGUGGAGCUGCAUUCCCCCACAUCAAGUUGUGGACCGUCACACAAUCCCGUUCACUUCCCCAACAUCAGGGUCCUCCUUCAGUUGGCCUGUACCAUCCCAGUAACAUGGUGUGAAUGUGAGCCAAGUGCCAGUACCUUGAAGCGUCCGAACACCGACAUGAGGGCCAGCAUGACGCAACAGCGGCUGACCUCGCUGGCACUUCUCCACAUUCACUACAAAAAGGUUAUCAACCUGGAGGAAGUGGUGGACAUAUUUUCCACGACACAUCCAAGAAAGAUGAUGCUGAAUUUGUGAUAGACCUGACCUCAGCCUGUAGUGCUGCUACUACCCCCCAUCCACUCAUCCUAUAUUCUUGCUACAACAGAAUGUGGCCUCCGGCCCCCCCAAAAUGAGGAUACCUGCAGAGCACGGUACAAUCAAGCACCUGUAAAAAGUGUGGCGAGUUGUGUACUGCUGCAACUGGCCAGAGUACAGUCAGUGACAAAAGAUGAAUGCGUUGUUCAAAUGAGAAAACAAAAAUAUUUCACUCACUUUGCUUAUUUUACAUGAUUUUUUUUUCUUUGUUGCUGUUGUGUACUUCUUUUACCUUUUAAUAUGUUUUUUAAUUUCUCAUUUGAUAUCGUCUGUUAUUUAGUUGUAUUUGUUGUGUACAUGUUAUUGUAUUUGUAUGUGUAUCGUCAUAUUCAUUGCUUAAACCAUUUGUGUGUUCAUUUUAACUGCACUACUAAAUAUGUUUAUAUCCAAAAUGGUCACAUUUACAGUAUCUCUUUAAGAUGAUGAGUUUCUUAUUUCUGUCUCAAUGCUGAAGCGUGUGGUUCUAUCUGAGGAUAUGGGAGUCUAAAUAACCAAACCAAAGAGUAUAAACCAGUGAGAUUUAUUCCUGACAGAAAUACCUAAUACAGACGUCCGGGCCUUAAUACAGUCCCUGUAUGCCUACGAUUAACUGUAAUCGUUAAUUAACUGAUAACUGAUUAACUGUAGACACAGUAGCAGUGUAGGGUGGGGAAAGCCCCCCGCCCCCCAGCAUGUCCGUCCAUCCAUCCAUCCUUUUUCUAUACAGCUUCUCAUUAGGGUCGCGGGGGUUUGCUGGAGCCUGUCCGAGCUGAGAGGCGGGGUACAGCCUGGACUGAUCGCCAGCCAAUUGCAGAGCACAUAUAGACAAACAACCAUUCACACUCACAUUCAUACCUAUGGACAAUUUAGAGUCACCAAUGAACCUAACAUGCAUGUUUUUGGAAUGUGGGAGGAAGCCGGAGUACCCGGAGAAAACCCCCACACACACGCACGGGGAGAACAUGCAAACUCCACACAGAAAUGCCCAACGUAGAAUCGAACCCAGGUCUUCCUGAUCUCCACACUGUAACUGUGUGGCCAACAUGCUAACCACUAGCCACCAUGCGGCCCUGUCUCCGCAUGUGAGUGUCUCAAAAAUGUACUUUAACUAUCCCAUUUAAACAAUACAAAUCAGCAAGGCUCUAAAACAGUCAAUUGCAAACUUAUUUUUGCCGCUUUUAUGUAUUUUAGUCCACGCAAUUUCUGAUGAUACUUUUUACAACUAUAAUGUAUAUUUAUUGUUUUUAGAAGACCUUAUUUGUUAUGAGCUUUUACAAAAAAACAUUCCAUCCUUAGCUACCACCUUUCAACUACAGCUAUUUUGUUAAAAAUUCAUGCAAUAUCAUGAUUCCCUGUUAGCUGUCGAUCCACCAGCCUUGCUUCUCCGAGAGCAAAGUAGGAAUGCCCAUCUAGGCCACACCCCACCCCCACCCCACACUGUAAGUGUUGAAAAAACAGAGGCAUCAGAUUGGGUUUCCCACCGAGUGGGAUGAAACAGACGUUAUGCAUGAAAGCCAAUAAAGCCACAGAGCCAGGAAACCAUAAGACAUCACGGUUGGGCCAACUGUCUGAUCUUCUUACCAUGACAAAGUCAUAUAACUUAUCAAUUGCUGGUCAAGAUGAUAGCCUAGCCUGACACAGCGGGUGAUCGCUUUUAAGAUAUCUAUUUUUGUUUUAUAAUUUUUGAUUUCAUUUUUUAGUUUAGUACACAAUAUGCAUGCCAGCCGUGCAUUCUGUUGCAUGAAAUCCUACAAAGGUACUGACAUCAUUCAUUCAUUCAUUGUGCAGUAUGGUGUCCACAGAGUGAUUCUGGUGCCAUGGCCUUAUCACCCCCAUGACUAAGUCAUAAAACCUAUCAAUUGUGGAUCAAUACAAUAGUCUAGCCUAACCCAGCGGGCUGCAGACUGUUUGAGCUUAUGUUUUUUAAAACAACCAGAUUAAAAUAUUAUAAAUUGACAAGACAAUAGUCCAGCCUGCAGACUGUUUGAACAUAUGACAGACAGGCCCGUGUCAUAAAACUUAUCAAUUACCCUGUGUGUGAUAAAGUGAUACUUACAAAACUAUCAUAUGUUUUUAUGUAUUAUGCCUUUUAAUUAUUGAAAGGCAAUGAAAGCAUCCAUUUUUUAAAUGUAAUUUUGGCAUGACAAGGAGAUCCCACCUGAGAUGUUUUCUACCUGGCACAGUGGAGGGGGGUCCAUCAUGAUCCGGGGUGCUUUUUCAUUCAGUGGAACACCGGAGCUUCAGGUGGUGCGGGGUCGUCAAACGGCGACCGCUUACGUGGAGAUGUUGCAGCGGGCAUCCCUCAUGACUGAGGGCCCUCGUCUGUGUGGUAACAGCUGGGUUCUUCAACAGGACAACGCUGCAGUUCACAAUGCUGGCUUGACCAAGGUCUUCUUCAGGGAGAAUAACAUCACUCUUUUGGACCAUCCUGCAUGUUCCCCUCAUUUAAAUCCCAUCCAUCCAUCCAUCCAUCUUCUACCGCUUAUCCGAGAUCGGGUCGCGGGGGCAACAGCCUAAGCAGGGAGGCCCAGAUUUUCCUCUCCCCGGCCACUUUGUCCAGCUCCUCCCGGCGGAUCCCGAGGCGUUCCCAGGCCAGUUGGGAAACAUAGUCUCUCCAACGUGUCCUGGGUCUUCCCCGAGGCCUUUUACCGGUCGGACUUGCCCUGAACACCUCCCCAGGGAGGCGUCCGGGAGGCAUCCUGACCAGAUGCCCAAGCCACCUCAUCUGGCUCCUCUCAAUGCGGAGGAGCAGCGGUUCUACUCCGAGUCUCUCUCGGAUGACAGUGCUUCUCACCCUAUCUCUAAGGGAGAGCCCAGCCACCCUACGGAGAAAACUCAUUUCGGCCGCUUGUACCCGCGAUCUUGUCCUUUCGGCCAUUACCCAAAGCUCAUGACCAUAGGUGAGGGUAGGAACGUAGAUCGACCAGUAAAUUGAGAGCUUCGCCUUUUGGCUUAGCUCUCUCUUCACCACAACAGACCGAUGUAGAGUCUGCAUCACUGCAGACGCCGCACCAAUUCGCUUAUCGAUCUCGCGUUCCAUCCUUCCCUCACUCGUGAAUAAAACCCCAAGGUACCUAAACUCCUCCACUUGGGGCAGGAUCUCAUCCCCGACCUGGAGAUGGCAUUCCACCCUUUUCCGGGCGAGAACCAUGGACUCGGACUUGGAGGUGCUGAUUCUCAUCCCGGCCGCGUCGCUCUCGGCUGCAAACCGAUCCAGUGAAAGUUGAAGUUCACGGCUUGAUGAAGCCAGCAGGACCACAUCAUCUGCAAAAAGCAGAGACUCAAUCCUGCAGCCAUGCAAACUAGCUUAAGGGCGACUACGAUGAGGAAGGGAGCUCACAUACAAACAUGGACGCGCUGGAUAAGUCAGCCAAUGAGAUAAAGUGUAGGCGGUGUCCCGAUAAUCAGCCAAUGAGAUGAGAGCGUAGGCGGUGCCCCGAUAUUCAGCCAAUGAGAGCGUGAAGCCAGAAGGCGUCACCAAGUGUACUCUUGUUAGUCUCUCUGUCGCUUGCACGGACUUGACGCUUUACGUUAUAUGGAAUUCCUUACGUAAUACCAUGCGAAUAAUUUCCAUAAAUUCUUUACGUUCAGUGGAAUUUAUGUAAAAGGAGGUUUACGUUAUGAGAGGUACUACUGUACAUAUAUAUCAAAGCCAUACUACAUAUAAUGCUAUCACUCCCAUUAGCAUGCUAAUAUACAGUAAGACCAAUAUAUCCUUUCACCACCCAUUUCUUUGGUGCGAGUAUCCCCCACGGUGCCUCCUCCUCUUCCAGCCUAUCUGGACGUAUCUCAGCGUGUGUGAGGGGGAGUGUCUCUGAUUUCAUGUAUUCCAUGUCUAAUUUCAUACGUACGUAAAAUGACCUUCCAUGUUUGUUUUUAGAGGACCAGAUUUGUUAUGUGCUUUUAUUGUCCAAAUGCUGUGUUUUUGCAUUGUCCAAAAUUGUGAGACCCAGCCAUAGGCCGAAUAAUUGGAUCCCAAAUGCAGAGAAGUAUAGUCCAUGAAACAAGGGUUUAUUACAAAAAGUACCACAAGGGUGGAAACAUACAAAAUGGCACAAACAAAAAGGCAAAGUUCAACCCAAACCACUCGGAUGCAAUUACGGGAAAAAUAAGUCGAACGCUGAAGACGCUGCUAUGCACGGACAUACUGUACACAGCAGGAGAAAAACACACAAAAACGCUGAACUGAAGUUGCUUCUGACAAAAACUAGCAGAGCAGGUAACAGAAAAUCACUGCAAAAGCCUUAGCAGGAAUACGAGAAUACUAACCGCUGCUGGAAGAAGCCAAGCAGGGAACAGGGUACUUGCAACGAGGACCAAAAAAUGACCAGAAAGCAGAAAUACGCCGGUAGCAAGAGGCGCUGGGAGGAGCAGGUCUCAGGCUGACUGUGGGUAACAAUCUGGCAACGAGUGGCUGUCAGGCAGCAGCUUAAGACAGCCAGUAGAUUGCUUGCAGGUGUGACCAAUUAGCUCCUCCAGGUAGUCAGGGAGGUGUGCUGCAACACAUGGCCAGCACAGGGCAGCAGAGCAGCACACAGAACAUGACAAAAAUGUCGUUUUUCACAGCUAAACUGUUCCCGUCAUGUCUUUCAAUGCACCCGGAGAGAUUGGUUAGAGGUUGUUAUUAUUCAUUGUCUAGUUGUCCAGAGCUGUCCAAAUAUGAUGUUUUGUAUUAUUUCUAUUUAUUAUUUUCAUUGUGUCCUUUUUAAUUUGCAGCCCACGGCUGUGAUUUUAUCGGCACGCAGCACAGUCUAAAAAUGUAAUUUAACAAGGACACUUAAAAAAACAACAGCAGUAAAAAUGGGGAAAUCUAUCAAAAGCCAAAAUAUUAAGAGAAGACUUGUAAUCUAGCAAGGAAAAAAAAGACAUCAUUUCACAAGAAUAAAGUCAUAGUGUGAAGAAAUAUUCAAGAAACAAGUUUUAUUCUCAAAAACAACAAAUAAAGUUGUAAUUUUUGGAAACUUAGGUUAGGGGAACAUUUAUAACAUGGGAAUAAAGUCAAAAUAUUAAGAAAGGAAAAUAUACGAAAAGAAAUCAGCAGCAGAAAUUUUACCAGAGUAAAGUCAAAAUAUUAAGAGAAAAAAGUACUUUUUUAAUGAGAAAAAGUUUGAAUAAACUUGUAAAAUGAGGAAAAAUAUCAUUUUAGUAACAAUGUUGAAAUAAAGAAAAAUAGAUUGUUUUAAAAUAUAAAAAUAUUAUGGGAAUAAAGUUAUAAUUAUAAAAAGACAAUUUACAAGAGGAAAGCCGAAAUGAAAUAGUUGGAAAAUGAAAAUAACACUAGAAAUGGAAAAAAACAACUCUAAUUUUACAGGAAUAAAGUCAAAAUAUUAAGAAAAAAAAAUCAUCAUAGAAUGAAGAACAAAAGUCGCAGUUUUAAGAAGAAGUUUUCAGAAUAAAUUAGUAUUAUGGAGAAAAAAUCAUGUUUAGUAGCAUUUCACCUACAUUACAAAGGUGAAAUGCAGUUUUUAACAUAUACUGUAGCCUCCCAGCAUAUCUCUAUGUGUUGCUUUACUAAAUAUCAAAGUGGUCCUUGCCACUGAUCUAAAAAAAAAAAGACUGGAUCGAGCAACCUAUUGUUUUCACGCUCCAAAAUUUGAAGCCAGAUUUUUUCGAUCGCCGCCAUCUUGGUGAGACCACCUUACGCGCCACAGCUUUGUGAUUGUGCUGGUAUACGAACGCAGAAUUAGUGAAAAAUCAUCAAAAACAUCAGGAGUGCCAGUGAAGGAAGCGAGGAUGAGGAAACAACUUAAAAAGCACUUCCCAAGAACCUUCCACUCGUAAGUACUUUUACUUGGCACCUUUUUUUGACCUGAUAUAUGUGCCACUACUUGAACGGCUUUGCUUUGAAAAGUUCUCGAAAUGUAACCAAAAGUUAAAGUAUGAACUUUGAUGGGUGGUUUUGCAAGAAUUUUCUAGUUACACCUUCCUGUAACAACUAGGCCUUUUUUUGGUGCCUAGCCUAGCAAUCAAUGAUAAAAUUAUUUCUAUGCAGUUUUUUACAGUAGGCUUUGAGUAUUUGCACUUAUCUAAUGUCUUUUUGUACCAAAAAACAGCUUUUUUAAAAGCUACCACAACUACCAAGUUACAUUAAUUCUGAUACCACACAUGAUUCACGCAAAGGUAGAAGACAUGUGACAAAAUUUCUGCUUUCUUCCUGCCUUAACCUUAUCCUGAGAUUAAAAAAAAUAAUGGUUUACCGUAGGAAAAUAAUUAGACAAAGAUAGACUUUAAAUUCCGUACGUAAACAAUGUUUGCAGGCUGCCACACAGCCAAUUUUUCGUCCGUCUCGAAGCUAAAAUACAUCUUACUAGCUUGAUAAAUGACACAAAAGCGUAUAAAUCUGAGUAGUUAUAACCUUUAGCAGUUGAUUUUGGUGGCUAUACGAUCAAUCGAAGUUUUACCAGUGCGUUGCCAUACGGUUGUCUCACAGCAAAGUGGUCUCACCAAGAUGGCCGCCGCAAAUUUCCAUUGGCUUCAAAAAUAAAACAAUAGAAGCUCGAUCCAGUCUUUUUUUUAGAUCAGUGGUACUUGCAUGCUUUCAUUUUUCAGUACGUGGCCCUUGCUGGAAAAAGUUUGGACACCCCUGCUGUAAGUGUUCAAAUACAAAAGCAGAGACAUUAUUUGAUUUAAAAAAAAAG